rnacentral:rRNA from 1 species
CCUACGGGAGGCUGCAGUGGGGGAUAUUGCACAAUGGGGGGAACCCUGAUGCAGCGACGCCGCGUGGGUGAAGAAGCGCCUCGGCGCGUAAAGCCCUGUCAGCAGGGAAGAAAAUGACGGUACCUGAAGAAGAAGCCCCGGCUAACUACGUGCCAGCAGCCGCGGUAAUACGUAGGGGGCAAGCGUGAUCCGGAUUUACUGGGGGGAAAGGGGGCGCAGACGGCGAUGCAAGCCAGGAGUGAAAGCCCGGGGCCCAACCCCGGGACUGCUCUUGGAACUGCGUGGCUGGAGUGCAGGAGGGGCAGGCGGAAUGCCUGGUGUAGCGGUGAAAUGCGUAGAUAUCAGGAGGAACACCGGUGGCGAAGGCGGCCUGCUGGACUGCAACUGACGUUGAGGCCCGAAAGCGUGGGGAGCAAACAGGAUUAGAUACCCCAGUAGUC